AAGUCGUAACAAGGUUUCCGUAGGUGAACCUGCGGAAGGAUCAUUAACGAGUUUUGAAAUGGGUUGUUGCUGGCCUUCCGAGGCAUGUGCACGCCCUGCUCAUCCACUCUACACCUGUGCACUUACUGUAGGUUGGCGUGGGUUUCUAGCCUCCGGGCUGGGAGCAUUCUGCCGGCCUAUGUACACUACAAACUCUAAAGUAUCAGAAUGUAAACGCGUCUAACGCAUCUUAAUACAACUUUCAGCAACGGAUCUCUUGGCUCUC
rnacentral:misc_RNA from 1 species